ACGGCUCAGUAACACGUGGACAACCUACCCUAAGGAGGGGGAUAACCCCGGGAAACUGGGGAUAAUACCCCAUAGACUACAGGAGCUGGAAUGCUCUCAAGUCCAAAGGUCCGCCGCCUUAGGAUGGGUCUGCGGUCCCCAGGUUGUUGUUGGGGUAACGGCCCAACAAGCCCGUGAUCGAUACGGGUUGUGAGAGCAAGAGCCCGGAGAUGGAUUCUGAGACACGAAUCCAGGCCCUACGGGGCGCAGCAGGCGCGAAAACUUUACAAUGCGGGAAACCGUGAUAAGGGAACCCCGAGUGCCCGUAAAUUCGGGCUGUCCAUCAGCGUAAAUAACUGGUGAAGAAAGGGCCGGGCAAGACCGGUGCCAGCCGCCGCGGUAAUACCGGCGGCUCGAGUGGUGGCCACUAUUAUUGGGCUUAAAGCGUCCGUAGCUUGGUUGUUAAGUCUCUUGGGAAAUCUACCGGCUCAACCGGUAGGCGUUCAGGAGAUACUGGCAAUCUAGGGACCGGGAGAGGUGAGAGGUACUCCAGGGGUAGGAGUGAAAUCCUGUAAUCCUUGGGGGACCACCUGUGGCGAAGGCGUCUCACUAGAACGGCUCCGACAGUGAGGGACGAAAGCUGGGGGAGCAAACCGGAUUAGAUACCCGGGUAGUCCCAGCUGUAAACGAUGCGCGUUAGGUGUAUCGGUGACCACGAGUCACCGAGGUGCCGAAGGGAAACCGUGAAACGUGCCGCCUGGGAAGUACGGUCGCAAGGCUGAAACUUAAAGGAAUUGGCGGGGGAGCAC
rnacentral:rRNA from 1 species